rnacentral:rRNA from 1 species
GCAAGUCGAACGAAAAGUAAACUUCGGUUUACAGAUUCGUGGCGGACGGGUGAGUAUAAUGUAGGCAACCUGCCCAGCACUGGGGGAUAACAGUUGGAAACGACUGAUAAUACCGCAUACGCCAUAUUGGGAAAGCUCCGGCGGUGUUGGAUGGGCUUACACUUGAUUAGCUAGUUGGUGAGGUAAUGGCUCACCAAGGCGACGAUCAAUAGCUGGUUUGAGAGGAUGAUC